rnacentral:rRNA from 1 species
UACGGGGGGAGCAAGCGUUGUUCGGAUUUACUGGGCGUAAAGGGCGCGUAGGCGGUCGUGACAAGUCACUUGUGAAAUCUCCGGGCUUAACUCGGAACGGUCAAGUGAUACUGUCGGACUAGAGUACAGAAGGGGCAACUGGAAUUCUCGGUGUAGCGGUGAAAUGCGUAGAUAUCGAGAGGAACACCUGCGGCGAAGGCGGGUUGCUGGGCUGAUAACUGA